GAUGAACGCUGGCGGCGUGCUUAACACAUGCAAGUCGAACGGAAAGGCCUGUACUUGUACAGGUACUCGAGUGGCGAACGGGUGAGUAACACGUGGGUGAUCUGCCCUGCACUGUGGGAUAAGCCCGGGAAACUGGGUCUAAUACCAUAUAGGACCACUUCUUGGAUGUUGUGGUGGAAAGCUUUUGCGGUGUGGGAUGAGCCUGCGGCCUAUCAGCUUGUUGGUGGGGUAAUGGCCUACCAAGGCGGCGACGGGUAUCCGGCCUGAGAGGGUGUACGGACACAUUGUGACUGAGAUACGGCCCAGACUCCUACGGGGGGCAGCAGUGGGGAAUAUUGCACAAUGGGCGCAAGCCUGAUGCAGCGACGCCGCGUGGGGGAUGAAGGCCUUCGGGUUGUAAACUCCUUUCGCUAUCGACGAAGCCUUUUAGGUGACGGUAGGUAGAUAAGAAGCACCGGCUAACUACGUGCCAGCCGCCGCCGUAA
rnacentral:rRNA from 1 species